rnacentral:lncRNA from 1 species
GGGAACCGAGAAAGGGAAGCUCGCUGGAGAGAGGGGAGUCGGAGAGGACUUGCCGCCUGUACUCUCCACGGCCGCUGCCGCCCGACCAACCGCGACCACCGCUGUCUCACCGGAGCCCAGAUCUAGAGUAAAGGCGCCGCGUCAAGAAGCAAUGCAGUAAAGGGCAAGUGGGAGAGUUCCAGAGAGAAAGGGGCAGGAUUCGAGCAACCCACGAGCCGCCGCCCUCCUUCACGACGUCGUCCGAGCCACCGCCACUCGACCCCUCGACACACCAGCAACCAGCCGAGCCCCCUGCCUGCUGUCCUCCGUCCGAGUCGCCACCAUAAACCCAGAACCAGAUCUGAAGCAGACAAGAAGGAGGGGGGAGAGCUCGAGCAGUGAGAGAAAGUGGGAGCAAGAAGAGGGAAGGAACAGAGCGAGAGAAGACUAGAAAGAGGGAGAAGAGAGAACCGAAGGAGAGGGAGAAGAAAAGAGCCUCCUCCUGCCG